AUUGAACGCUGGCGGCAGGCCUAACACAUGCAAGUCGAACGAGUGGCGGACGGGUGAGUAAUGUCUGGGAAACUGCCUGAUGGAGGGGGAUACCUACUGGAACCGGUAGCUAAUACCGCAUACCAUCGGAUGUGCCCAGAUGGGAUUAGCUAGUAGGUGGGGUAACGGCUCACCAAGGCGACGAUCCCUAGCUGGUCUGAGAGGAUGACCAGCAACACUGGAACUGAGACACGGCCCAGACUCCUACGGGAGGCAGCAGUGGGGAAUAUUGCACAAUGGGCGCAAGCCUGAUGCAGCCAUGCCGCGUGUAUGAAGAAGGCCUUCGGGUUGUAAAGGACUUUUGUCAGGGAAGCGUUACCCGCAGAAGAAGCACCGGCUAACUCCGUGCCAGCAGCCGCGGUAAUUC
rnacentral:rRNA from 1 species